rnacentral:rRNA from 1 species
GUAGGUGGCAAGCGUUGUCCGGAUUUACUGGGCGUAAAGAGCGCGCAGGCGGUCGUGCAAGUCGCGUGUGAAAGCCCCCGGCUCAACUGGGGAGGGUCACGCAAUACUGCUCGACUCGAAGGCAGGAGAGGGAAGUGGAAUUCCCGGUGUAGUGGUGAAAUGCGUAGAUAUCGGGAGGAACACCAGUGGCGAAGGCGACUUCCUGGCCUGUUCUUGACGCUGAGGCGCGAAAGCUAGGGUAGCAAACGGGAUUAGAUACCCCGGUAGUCCUAGCCGUAAACGAUGGACACUAGGUGUUGGUGGUAUCAACCCCGCCAGUGCCGAAGCUAACGCAUUAAGUGUCCCGCCUGGGGAGUACGGCCGCAAGGCUA